rnacentral:lncRNA from 10 species
CUGGGCAUAGGCAGUAAUAUAAGGCAAGAUGGCUAAGGAAGAAGGUGGGCAGCGGAGCCGGUGAAGGAAGCCGCAGGCGCGGAUGGAGGCGAAGAGAUCAGGAGCAGUAAAGGAACACUCUCUUCCCCAGUCAGCUGGGAUACGGAUUUUGUAAGGCCUAGGGACUUUGUCUUUGGAGGUCCUGUCUCCAUAAGGCUUCCCAAAACAAAGAAUGUUCAGAUUGGACUGGCCUUAAAAUGCAGUAUUUAAAACAGCAACAUGUCUGACAGAUCCGAGAAAUGAAAUACGUCCAUUUCUUUUGGCAAGGAGCAGAAGGCAACAUAAAGCAGCUGCAAGAAUUAAUUCAUGGAGAUAGUUGACAUUUUCGAGCUGACUGCCUCUUAGAGAAAAUGAUGUCAUUCUCCAGCAGCCUAAUGACAGUCAUCAGCCUGAGAGGACACAUGCUAAUAAGACUAUCACCAGCAAAGAAUUUUCUGAGCAAAUGUGUACUGGAGACCUUCUGAGGAACCCACUAGAGCCUGCACAUCCCCUUUUCCUAGCAAGGUCAACUGGAAAACAGUGUUCUUUCCAAGAUAACGUGCAACUUUCCUUUGGAAUGAUCAGCAGAAUGUCAAAUAAGGAAAGGACAUGUAGAGUUCAUGGGAGGAGACAUUACUUCUGGCUGCAGAAUUAUGGAGGCUUUAUGGGAGACGCCGUAUAUUUUAUCUGUGCGCCUUGAUCACGUGUCUGACCAUGGACAGAGAAACCAGCCUAAUGAGCCUUCUUUACAGGUGACCCUCUAGCCCUUGGUGAACAUCUUGUUUUUAUUCUUUCUUAAUUCCAACACUUAUUCUUGACAACUUUACAAAUGAACAAAUCUUAUUUACUAAAUUGUUGAUGUAGUUUUUGUCUAACACAGGGCUGAUUUUACCCUUGAGAGACGGACACAAGGCUUCAUUUAGGGGAGGAUUAGGUUUGAUGUUUAUUCACUGCACGAGGCAGAUUGGUUUUAGAGACAUGGGUUACAGUCUUGGCUUUUCCUGUUACUGCUUUUGGGUCUUUAGAUGAACAUUUUGCUUUCUCUAGACUCCUUCUUUAUAUAUAAAACAACUACAUCUUUGGACCUAUAAUAACUGUUGGUGGUCUCCAAUGAGACAAGGAUAUGAGGGUGCUUUGUGAAUGGCUACCCAAAUGUAAAAUAUUAUUAUUAUUAUUAUCAUUCAGUAUUAUAAAAUAUUGAUAAAAAUAUUGUCUAGAUUUUUCAGACAUCUUAGAAGUCUUCUUUUUCUUCAGGGAAAAAGAGAACCCUAAAUAUCAAUUAUAAUCAGAAUUUCACAGCAAGUAAAAAUACCUGUGUGUUAAUGAAAUUAAUCCUUAAUGAACCAGAUGACAAUGACUAUUUGAUAUCUGACCUUAAUUUUUUAAACCAGGCAUCAAAACACUUAGAAGUGGGUAGGCAGGGUGAGUACAGAAGAGGAGUGGUGGAAUUCCCUUUACUGUAGGUUAGUUGGAAAGAGAGAAUCAAGAUUCAUAUGACUCUCAGGCAAAAAGAGUGGGAAGAGAUAGACUGAAAUCUCCAUAUUCACAGGUAAGAACAGACAUUUCUUGGCCCAAAUGAUAAAGCAAUGUUCAGCUCUUCUAGUCAAGUCGCCCAUACUGUGGAAUUCCAAGGAAACAGUCUUCACUCCUGUUAAGUGAUAUUCCUGGCCAUUGUCAAUGCGCAAGUCCCACAACAAGGCAGAGACAUUCAUGCUCUUCAUUAACAUUCCCCUAAGGUCUCAGUUUGCAUCUCUCUAUCCAUCUCCUAGCUCUGAAAGGAAGUUUCCUGGGAAACCUUUUCUAUGAAUGGAAUGGAUGAGGUUUGUCCCAUGAGGGAAGAAUUAAAAAAAAAAAAAACAAAAAACACACAGACACACACAACAACAACACAGUACAACAAAAAAACUUCUUUCCCACUGCAGCCAGGAGCAGAUUACGCCUAUCUUUUUUCAAGGACAGGUGGAAAUUCUGACCAUGUGGUAUUCAGUCAUACUAGGAAUGUUGCUCUCUCAAUUUAACAGGAGAGCUUCCUUUCUUACUGAUUAAAAAAGUCAAAAGGGGUUUAAAAUUGCUUAGGUAAAAAGAACUAUGGUUGAGUUUUCUCAGCCACAGAUAAACAUUGGCUCUUUCUGAUCUGCUCUGUUGUCAGCUAUGUAAUGACUCAGUUUGUGCAUUGUUCUCCUUGUUCAGAACAGAAGGGAGAGUAAACCUUAUCCACAGGCUCCUGUUACAAGUAGACCUUCCCCUUCCAUCAGAGGUGGGCUUUGUGCGACACAGUCAGGACAUUCACAAAUUAAAAGAUGAAGAACAGCCCACAUUUUCACCAGCUAUUGAUAUUCCCUAUCCCAGUAAACCAUGGGUUUUCGUCUGAGUAUUUUUUUCCAACUUAAAGAGAGAGAGAGAAAGAGAGAAUAUGUAGGCUAACCAGCUCUAUUGCUAACAAAAGAAAUAGUUAAGAGAGGAAAACAACCAGGGAUGAAAAUCAGGCUUUUAUUUGAAUCUUCUUGCUUCUUUUCAGCACCAGCUUCCUGGCUAACUUGAGCAUCCUAUUCCUGAGCUGGUUGAAAUAUGCCUUUUUUAAAAAAACAACUUUAAUGAGAUAUAAUUUACAUACCAUAAAAUUCAUCUGUUUAAAGUAUGGGACUCAAUGGACCCAGUGGUUUUUAGUAUAUUUAUAGAUUUGUUCAACCAUUACCAUAAUCAAUUUUAUAACAUUUUCAUCAAUCCAAAAGGAAGCCCAGUACCCAUUUGCUGACACUCCCCAUUCUCCCCACUCCACCACCAGCCCUAAGCAGCCACGAAUCUACCUUCUGUCUCUAGAGAUUUGUCUAUUGGAUCUUUCAUACAGAAGCAUGCAAUAAUGUGAUUUGUUUGUUUGUUUUGUUUUUCUCAUGUUUUUUAUUUCUUUAUUUUUUUUAUUAUACUUUAAGUUUUAAGGUACAUGUGCACACGUGCAGGUUAGUUACAUAUG